rnacentral:lncRNA from 1 species
GAGAAGCAGGUCACGUUGGAUGCCUCAGCAACUGUGGUUCUCGUUUGAGCUUCAUCAGAGGACAGAUCCAUUAAGGGAGGCAGCUCCGAAGAACACGAAUCAUCACGACAAUUUGUCGCCCAGGUUAGCCCUGAAAUGUGUGGGCUUGCGCUUGAACAAGAGACCUCCUCAAGUAAUGUAUUGCUUUUUCUGGCCACAAUUUGCUGAUCGUCUAAUUUUCUUGUCCUUUUCUUUGGGUUUGAUUUGCUAAUUGAAGUUUGAACAAAAU